AGUGAACGCUGGCGGUAGGCCUAACACAUGCAAGUCGAACGGCAGCACAGGAGAGCUUGCUCUCUGGGUGGCGAGUGGCGGACGGGUGAGGAAUACAUCGGAAUCUACCUUUUCGUGGGGGAUAACGUAGGGAAACUUACGCUAAUACCGCAUACGACCUACGGGUGAAAGUGGGGGACCGCAAGGCCUCACGCGAUUAGAUGAGCCGAUGUCCGAUUAGCUAGUUGGCGGGGUAAUGGCCCACCAAGGGGACGAUCGGUAGCUGGUCUGAGAGGGUGAUCAGCCACACUGGAACUGAGACACGGUCCAGACACCUAAGGGAGGAAGCAGUGGGGAAUAUUGAACAAUGGGCGCAAGCCUGAUCCAGCCAUACCGAGUGGGUGAAGAAGGCAUUCGGGUUGUAAAGCCCUUUUGUUGGUAAAGAAAUCCUAUCGGUUAAUAACCGGUGGGGAUGACGGUACCCAAAGAAUAAGCACCGGCUAACUUCGUGCCAGCCGCCGCGGUAACAC
rnacentral:rRNA from 1 species